UACGUAGGGGGCAAGCGUUGUCCGGAUUUAUUGGGCGUAAAGAGCGUGUAGGCGGCCUGGAAGGUCAGCUGUGAAAACUCGAGGCUUAACCUCGAGACGUCGGUUGAAACCACCUGGCUAGAGUCCGGAAGAGGAGAGUGGAAUCCCGGGUGUAGCGGUGAAAUGCGCAGAUAUCGGGAAGAACACCCGUGGCGAAGGCGGCUCUCUGGGACGGUACUGGACGGCUGAGACGCGAAAGCGUGGGGAGCGAA
rnacentral:rRNA from 1 species